UUCGGGGGUACACGAGUGGCGAACGGGUGAGUAACACGUGGGUAAUCUGCCCUGCACUUCGGGAUAAGCCUGGGAAACUGGGUCUAAUACCGGAUAUGAACUCCUGCCGCAUGGUGGGGGUUGGAAAGUUUUUCGGUGCAGGAUGAGCCCGCGGCCUAUCAGCUUGUUGGUGGGGUAAUGGCCUACCAAGGCGACGACGGGUAGCCGGCCUGAGAGGGUGAUCGGCCACACUGGGACUGAGACACGGCCCAGACUCCUACGGGAGGCAGCAGUGGGGAAUAUUGCACAAUGGGCGAAAGCCUGAUGCAGCGACGCCGCGUGGGGGAUGACGGUCUUCGGAUUGUAAACCCCUUUCAGUAGGGACGAAGCGCAAGUGACGGUACCUGCAGAAGAAGCACCGGCUAACUACGUGCCAGCAGCCGCGGUAAUACGUAGGGUGCGAGCGUUGUCCGGAAUUACUGGGCGUAAAGAGCUCGUAGGCGGUUUGUCACGUCGUCUGUGAAAUCCCUCGGCUUAACCGGGGGCGUGCAGGCGAUACGGGCAGACUUGAGUACUACAGGGGAGACUGGAAUUCCUGGUGUAGCGGUGAAAUGCGCAGAUAUCAGGAGGAACACCGGUGGCGAAGGCGGGUCUCUGGGUAGUAACUGACGCUGAGGAGCGAAAGCAUGGGUAGCGAACAGGAUUAGAUACCCUGGUAGUCCAUGCCGUAAACGGUGGGCGCUAGGUGUGGGGUCCUUCCACGGACUCCGUGCCGUAGCU
rnacentral:rRNA from 1 species